GACGAACGCUGGCGGCGUGCCUAAUACAUGCAAGUAGAACGCUGAAGGAGGAGCUUGCUUCUCUGGAUGAGUUGCGAACGGGUGAGUAACGCGUAGGUAACCUGCCUGGUAGCGGGGGAUAACUAUUGGAAACGAUAGCUAAUACCGCAUAAGAGUGGAUGUUGCAUGACAUUUGCUUAAAAGGUGCACUUGCAUCACUACCAGAUGGACCUGCGUUGUAUUAGCUAGUUGGUGGGGUAACGGCUCACCAAGGCGACGAUACAUAGCCGACCUGAGAGGGUGAUCGGCCACACUGGGACUGAGACACGGCCCAGACUCCUACGGGAGGCAGCAGUAGGGAAUCUUCGGCAAUGGACGGAAGUCUGACCGAGCAACGCCGCGUGAGUGAAGAAGGUUUUCGGAUCGUAAAGCUCUGUUGUAAGAGAAGAACGAGUGUGAGAGUGGAAAGUUCACACUGUGACGUAUCUACCAGAAAGGACGCA
rnacentral:rRNA from 1 species